rnacentral:rRNA from 1 species
ACUCCUACGGGAGGCAGCAGUGGGAAUCUUGCGCAAUGGGCGAAAGCCUGACGCAGCAACGCCGCGUGCGGGAUGACGGCCCUAGGGUUGUAAACCGCUUUCGGCAGGGACGAAAACUGACGGUACCUGCAGAAGAAGCCCCGGCCAACUACGUGCCAGCAGCCGCGGUAACACGUAGGGGCGAGCGUUGUCCGGAUUUUAUUGGGCGUAAAGAGCUCGUAGGCGGCUCAGUAAGUCAGGUGUGAAAGCUCCGAGCUCAACUCGGAGAGGCCACCUGAUACUGCUGUGGCUAGAGUCCGGUAGGGGAGCGUGGAAUUCCUGGUGUAGCGGUGAAAUGCGCAGAUAUCAGGAGGAACACCAGCGGCGAAGGCGGCGCUCUGGGCCGGAACUGACGCUGAGGAGCGAAAGCGU